rnacentral:rRNA from 1 species
UACGGGAGUGGCAAGCGUUAUCCGGAAUUAUUGGGCGUAAAGCGUCCGCAGGCGGUCUUGUAAGUCUGUCGUUAAAGCGUGGAGCUUAACUCCAUUUAAGCGAUGGAAACUGCAAGACUAGAGUGUGGUAGGGGCAGAGGGAAUUCCCGGUGUAGCGGUGAAAUGCGUAGAUAUCGGGAAGAACACCAGUGGCGAAGGCGCUCUGCUGGGCCAUAACUGACGCUCAUGGACGAAAGCCAGGGGAGCGAAAGGGAUUAGAUACCCCUGUAGUCCUGGCCGUAAACGAUGAACACUAGGUGUCGGGGGAAUCGACCCCCUCGGUGUCGUAGCCAACGCGUUAAGUGUUCCGCCUGGGGAGUACGCACGCAAGUGUGAAACUCAAAGGAAUUGACGGGGGCCCGCACAAGCGGUGGAGUAUGUGGUUUAAUUCGAUGCAACGCGAAGAACCUUACCAGGGUUUGACAUCCUGCGAAUCCCUUGGAAGCGAGGGAGUGCCUUCGGGAACGCAGUGACAGGUGGUGCAUGGCUGUCGUCAGCUCGUGUCGUGAGAUGUUGGGUUAAGUCCCGCAACGAGCGCAACCCACGUCGUUAGUUGCCAGCAUUCAGUUGGGCACUCUAGCGAGACCGCCGGUGAUAAACCGGAGGAAGGUGUGGAUGACGUCAAGUCAUCAUGCCCCUUACAUCCUGGGCUACACACGUACUACAAUGCUACGGACAAAGGGCAGCAAACUCGCGAGAGCUAGCAAAUCCCAUAAACCGUGGCUCAGUUCAGAUCGUAGGCUGCAACUCGCCUACGUGAAGGAGGAAUCGCUAGUAAUCGCAGGUCAGCAUACUGCGGUGAAUACGUUCCCGGGCCU